rnacentral:lncRNA from 1 species
AUAAAGGACUUGUCUAGGGGAGAGCCUAUGGAUCUGAGAACGCUGUCUGGGCUUGGUACCAAGAGCUGGUAUUUCACAGCAGCGACCGCCUCACAGACGAGCUGUGGGAAGCAGGAGGGAGACUCUCUCUUAGGGUGCCACUACUAUGGAGACACAGCUGGGCUGAACAAGAUUUGCUUCAAACGACAACAAGAGAGACAGAAAGUAUCUGGUUCAACCGCUGCCCGAGCAGGCAGGCACCAGAAGAGCUAGCAGCCAAUCCGGCCAUGCUCGAAGCCAGCUCUGCAGCUCAGCCAAUCAGUGACAUCAUUGCUUUCUUUAGCUUGCCCAUGGUGAUGUGAAGAUGAGAAGAAAUAGCAAGGCCCAACCAGUUCUUCAUCUGGAGACAGUUCAACGUUCUGCAAACCAGAUCUUCAGGAAUUUUACUGGGAUAAUUAUCCAAAUAAAUUGCAAGCAUUCUAUCCAAAUGGAGCUCUUUCUGAGAUGAAGAGAAUUCUCAAUGUCAAGAUUUGAACAAGAAGAGAAUGGAAUACACAAUAUGGACAUCCAUAAAAAUUCAU